UCGGUGAGCCAAACAGCCCCAACGAGGUCCUUGGGUAAAGUGAAACGAAACUAUUAUGUAAUGGCGCCCCACGAAAUCCGCCGUCCGUUCAAACGUCCGGCGAUCUCCGACCAGCAGAAGCGCCGUGACCUCUCUCUGCUCCGCCAGCAGCAGAACCGCCAAGACGCUCAGCGCCAAGCGCGCUGUUUAGCCUCCACUGUUCUCUCGCUCCAGACCGAGGGCUCCGGGCAGCAACAGUCCCUAGACCUAGAACUCGUCACCGAACAGGUGCCGGAGUCGGAGCCGGAGACCGAGCACGAGACCGGUGAUCUUGAUGUUCGGCAGGCGGCGAAGAUUAGGGGAGUCGAAGCUCGGCGAUGGUUCGCCAGACAGCUCAUGCUUCCGGAGUGGAUGAUCGACGUUCCCGAUCGAUUAAGUCAAGAUUGGUAUGUCUUUGCUAGACCAGCAGGGAAACGGUGCUUUGUUGUUUCUUCUAAUGGAACAACAGUUAGCAGACUUCGUAAUGGUUCACUAUUGCACCGGUUUCCAUCUGCUCUACCCAGCGGUGCCAAGACCAAAGGAAACUCUUGUUCUGCCCAAUCAUAUUGUAUACUUGAUUGUAUAUUUCACGAGCUGGAUCAAACUUACUAUGUGAUCGACCUUGUUUGCUGGGCUGGAUACUCUCUCUAUGAAUGCACUGCAGAGUUCAGAUUCUUUUGGUUGAGUAGCAAGCUUGUCGAGUCAGGGGCUUGUGAGCCUCCUUCAUUUUACCAUAAAUAUAGGUUUGGUCUUGUUCCCAUAUGCAACUGUGAUCAAGCAGGUCUACACACUGCUUAUACGGGAGCAGUACUUUACAUCAAGGAUGGACUAUUGUUUUACAAUAAGCAUGCCCAUUAUCAAGCAGGUAAUACACCAUUGGCAUUAGUAUGGAAGGAUGAGAAAUGUAGUCAAUAUGUUAUUGAUACAGACAGUAAAGGACAGAUUCCAAGUCAACAACAGGUGGUUCUGGAGCUACAAUAUAAUGGGAAACUGACAACUUCAGAUGACCCACCUGUCAUAUUUGGCUGUUUAGACAUGGAGUUCAUGCAAAAGACAUAUUUGAACUGCAUGAUGGUCUUCCAUUUCAGUCCGGGCUGCGACCAGAGAAUCUCCUACGCUUUGCUGUUAGUGAUGGGGGGUUGAAUUUUGUUGAUGGGAAACUAGAGAAAGCUGAUCUGCAGUACAUUGGCAAGGCUAACCGUGCACGUGCUUUUGCUGAUAGUUACUCAAAGGUUAUGUUCCAGUACACAGUUCGACAUUCUCCCUUAAGAAUAGAACAUCUCCUCUCGUCCAUUAGCUCAUCAAGUGAAGAUGACAGUGGAGUUAAUGACAUGGAGAUGGUUGGUUGACGAGCACUUCAACAAGACUUUUUCUAGGUUGGCCAUCCUGACAAACUGCACUGCCCUUGGCAUGAAUUCGUAAGAACAGUCAAAGGCCAAUAGAGAGUUUACAUGGCCUGCAUCUGAGCUCCAUGGCGCUGAUUCUGCAGCUGGUUGUGACGCAUAAGUUUGGCCAUUAGUUCUCGCUGUUGGAGACUCAUCAUAGGAUACGUUUUAGCAGCAGCAGAUGGAAUGCAAAUGCGGUUUCUCCUUUAUGGAGCACCUCUUUUCACUGGCUAUUCUUUUGUAUUUAUUGGUAAUUUGGUAUCGGUGUUAUAAUACUUGCAAAAUAGGGCUUGUUAUCUUUGUGUUUAUAAGAAGAUAAGGCUUCUUAUCUCUUGGUUUUUGUUGAACAGUUAUGGCAAUCUUGAAACUGAUACAUUGUAUGCUCUGUUCUGUAUAUUAAGGCUCGCAUUGGAUCAUUUUAUGGCUUAUAUGAAGUGGUUUUUCUUUUUUCUUAUUUCGUAAAUUUGGAAACGGGUCAAACCAGUGUUAAAGGCUCAUUGUAUGUU